AACUGUUAAAAACCUAUUUGACAAAAGUCGAGAGAACCAGUAUUUAUUCGCAGCGCUGUGAAAGAAAUGUUUUUAUGUUCUUUAAAUUCGAUUUUACAACUGUGUGCUCUGAGAGGACAGCUUCAGGAUGUAGAGGCAAUUUGGCGUGUUACUUUUAUGCUAACGUUAACGGACAUUAGCUCCAAAGUAACGUAACGUGGUGACUGAAGCCUUCGCCUGACAGUCGUCAGAGAAUGCACUUUGGCCCGAAACAACAUGAUGUACACAUGAGACGCAUUCUGGCCCUUCGUGCCGUCCCAGUGGACCUGCGAGAGGAUGACCCGCAAUUGCAAAGAUGAAUCAGAUAUUGCUGACACGCCUGUGGCUCUCCUCAAUGUGGUCACUGACGACGCCCCUGCUGCUGUCCACUUCAACCCUGAGAGCGUUUCUGUUGUAGUCGAAAAGGAAAUUGUGAGUGAUUAUCCAAAGAACCUAAUUUACACAUUCACCUUAAUAAAAAAAAUAAUAAUGUUUUGAUGACA